GGUUUAAGGACCUUUAUAACAAGUGGAUGGUGGGGGAGUCAUCAAGACAGAUCCUGAAUCAAACAACUUCUAGCAAUCUCUAGAGUUAGUGUUAGGCUGGAGUCAGUACUGUGGGUAGAAAUUAAAUAUGGAAUAUCUUUCUGAGUUAGAAGAGCACGAGAAGAAACUAGAUGGACUAUGACAAAGAAUUUUGAUAUUUUCUUUUUCCCUUAUAGAGUUCAGUCCAAAAUCUUAAGUUACCACCUAACACAUGUUGCUCAAGUGACUUCAUCUGAAGAAGUUGAUAUAAAUGGGUCUCUGGAAGUUAAGAACCAAUGAGACAGGAGACAAUGCACAGGAGUUGGAAGAUGCUUAUGGUAAAGAAACAAGCUGAGGAGAUGCUAUUAGAGAGGCCCUGGAAAGAGAAAUUGGCAGAAAAGUAGAUCUUUACAAGCUUCCCUCAAUCCUUGAAGGCUGGGUGAGUAUAGCUGGUAGCUCUAGUCAGAAUACUUUGUUCUGAGUUGUAUGCUGGGGCUCACUUUGAUCUCUCCUUUCCUUGCUACAGUUUCUCUCUCUUUUCCCUGUUUCAUCUAUGCCCU
rnacentral:lncRNA from 1 species